rnacentral:snRNA from 1 species
GGGUAUGAGGGCGAUCUGCCUGUGACAUCCAUCACCCCCUUGAUCGCCAGGGUUGAUGCGGUUGAUCUGGCUGGCUAGGCGGGUGUCCCCUUCCUCCCUCACUGCUCCAUGUGUGUCCCUUCUGAAGCUGCACAUGCUCGAUCUAAGAGGACAGCCUUCCCCGAACAGAGAUAGGCUGGUCUUCAGUCAAGGGUAUAGGAAUAGCGGCGCUCCCCUGCUAGAAUCUCCAGACUAGCUCUCAAGAAAAAUUAAUUUUCUACUCACAGGUGUAGUGUACUACUUAACAUACUAUUAACAUUUUCAAUCUAAAACAUCAUGUAAAAAUGU